ACGCCGCGUGCGGGAGGAAGGCCUUAGGGUUGUAAACCGCUUUUAUCAGGGAAGAACACAAUGACGGUACCUGAUGAAUAAGCCUCGGCAAUUCCGUGCCAGCAGCCGCGGUAAUACGGGAGAGGCGAGCGUUAUCCGGAAUUAUUGGGCGUAAAGCGUCCGCAGGUGGCCAAUUAAGUCUGUCGUUAAAUCGUGGAGCUCAACUCCAUACAAGCGAUGGAAACUGAUUGGCUAGAGUACGGUAGGGGUAGCGGGAAUUCCAGGUGUAGCGGUGAAAUGCGUAGAUAUCUGGAAGAACACCAGCGACGAAAGUGCGCUACUGGGCCUGUACUGACACUCAUGGACGAAAGCCAGGGGAGCGAAAGGGAUUAGAUACCCCUGUAGUCCUGGCCGUAAACGAUGAACACUAGGUGUUGCGCGAAUCGACCCGUGCAGUGCCGUAGCCAACGCGUUAAGUGCUCCGCCUGGGGAGUACGCACGCAAGUGUGAAACUCAAAGGAAUUGACGGGGGCCCGCACAAGCGGUGGAGUAUGUGGUUUAAUUCGAUGCAACGCGAAGAACCUUACCAAGGCUUGACAUCCCCCGAAUCUCUGGGAAACCGGAGAGUGCCUUCGGGAGCGGGGAGACAGGUGGUGCAUGGCUGUC
rnacentral:rRNA from 1 species